UCUUGCAAGAAUAAAACCAAAGCUUGUUUUAUAUACUGUUUUUUAAAGCAUGAAAAGGUAAUGGAAUGGGAUUAGUGUGGCGUGUGAAGAAUCCAAUACAUUACCUUGUAUGCAGAACAAAUCACAUUAUUGUGGAAGCACCUCCUCUAUGAGCAUGAAUGAGGCUGUUUGAGAAGGUUUGACUCCUAAACAACCUGUAUACACAUAAUCUAAAGUACAAUACCAACAUAACUACUGUAGUAGGUCAAAGCUGUGGGAUGGAAAACCUUGGUAGAGCAUGGGGUGGAGUAGGCAUUGUGGUGCUGUAAAACCUUGGUAGAGCAUGGGUGGAGUAGGCAUUGUGGUGCUGUAAAACCUUGGUAGAGCAUGGGUGGAGUAGGCAUUGUGGUCCUGUAAAACCUUGGUUGAGCAUGGGGUGCAGUAGGCAUUGUGGUGCUGUAAAACCUUGGUAGAGCAUGGUAGGCAUUGUGGUGCUCAUGUGAAGUUGUAGAGCAGUUAGAUCAUAGUGUGUUAUCUUAUCUCAUUAGUCUACCGGUUAGACCAUAGUGUGUUAUCAUUUCAGUAGUAGACCAGUUAGACCAUAGUGUAAUCAUUUCAGUAGUAGACCAGUUAGACCAUAGUGUUAUCAUUUCAGUAGUAGACCAGUUAGACCAUAGUGUGUUAUCAUUUCAGUAUUAGACCAUAGUGUAAUCAUUUCAGUAUUAGACCAUAGUGUGUUAUCAUUUCAGUAGUCUACCAGUUAGACCAUAGUGUGUUAUCAUUUCAGUAGUAGACCAGUUAGACCAUAGUGUUAUCAUUUCAGUAGUAGACCAUAGUGUUAUCAUUUCAGUAGUAGACCAGUUAGACCAUAGUGUA
rnacentral:lncRNA from 1 species